UGGGGUGUAGCCAAGCGGUAAGAAAAAAAGGUAAGGCACCGGUUUUUGGUAUCGGCAUGCGGAGGUUCGAAUCCUCCCACCCCAA
rnacentral:tRNA from 1 species